GACACCAGCAGCUGGCUUUUCUUGCAGAACUUCUGGGACUGAAGUGUGCUUGCCUGGUGCAUCAUGCCCUCCAGCAGAAGCCAACAAGCCAAGGAGAAAUCACAUACCCAGGUCUUGCCUACCUUUCCCUAAAGACUGUUCCUGCUGCCACCGGGCUUCUUGCCUUGGGGUCUCACAGUGAGUUACAAGGUCUUCGCAGAGCUACUGUGUUCUGUGUUUCUGAGACCAGCAACUCCCAGUCCUCUGAUUCUAUCUCUGAGCAGUUCUUUGGGAAUGUCAACACGGACCCUCCUGAAAGUCCAUCUUGGACACGAUUUCAGGUUAGGAGGCCAAGGUAAUCUUUAAGUUGGAUGAAAAUUAAUUAAAU